AGACCCGAAACCCGGUGAUCUAGCCAUGGGCAGGUUGAAGGUUGGGUAACACUAACUGGAGGACCGAACCGACUAAUGUUGAAAAAUUAGCGGAUGACCUGUGGCUGGGGGUGAAAGGCCAAUCAAACCGGGAGAUAGCUGGUUCUCCCCGAAAGCUAUUUAGGUAGCGCCUCGUGAAUUCAUCUCCGGGGGUAGAGCACUGUUUCGGCUAGGGGGCCAUCCCGGCUUACCAACCCGAUGCAAACUGCGAAUACCGGAGAAUGUUAUCACGGGAGACACACGGCGGGUGCUAACGUCCGUCGUGAAGAGGGAAACAACCCAGACCGCCAGCUAAGGUCCCAAAGUCAUGGUUAAGUGGGAAACGAUGUGGGAAGGCCCAGACAGCCAGGAUGUUGGCUUAGAAGCAGCCAUCAUUUAAAGAAAGCGUAAUAGCUCACUGGUCGAGUCGGCCUGCGCGGAAGAUGUAACGGGGCUAAACCAUGCACCGAAGCUGCGGCAGCGAACGUAUCACUUAAAGCGAUUCAGCGGGUUACGACUGACGGAGCGAAGCGACGUCAAAGCGUAUACAAAGUCGAGUCGGUUUAAGGAUACGUUCGUUGGGUAGGGGAGCGUUCUGUAAGCCUGCGAAGGUGGCCUGUGAGGGUUGCUGGAGGUAUCAGAAGUGCGAAUGCUGACAUAAGUAACGAUAAAGCGGGUGAAAAGCCCGCUCGCCGGAAGACCAAGGGUUCCUGUCCAACGUUAAUCGGGGCAGGGUGAGUCGACCCCUAAGGCGAGGCCGAAAGGCGUAGUC
rnacentral:rRNA from 1 species